rnacentral:rRNA from 1 species
GUGGGGAAUAUUGGACAAUGGGCGCAAGCCUGAUCCAGCCAUGCCGCGUGAGUGAUGAAGGCCUUCGGGUUGUAAAGCUCUUUAGUCCACGAAUAUAAUGACUGUAGUGGAAGAAUAAGCCCCGGCUAACUUCGUGCCAGCAGCCGCGGUAAUACGAAGGGGGCGAGCGUUAUUCGGAAUCACUGGGCGUAAAGCGUGCGUAGGCUGUUUUGUAAGUCAGAAGUGAAAGCCCAGGGCUUAACCCUGGAAUUGCUUUUGAAACUACAAGACUCGAAUUCGGGAGAGGAUAGCGGAAUUGUCAGUGUAGCAGUGAAAUGCGUAGAUAUUGACAGGAACACCAGUGGCGCAAGCGGCUAUCUGGACCGUUAUUGACGCUGAGGCACGAAAGCGUGGGGAGCAAACAGGAUUAGAAACCCUGGUAGUCC